UGGACACGGGAACAGCUCUGGCGUCUUCAUAAUGAUGGUAUCCAAAUCUCCGAUCCAGUACGGGUGAACGCCUAAAACCAUGUGGAUAUGUAGUGUUACAUAAGACGUGCUCUCGAUCUUGGACAAUGUGAAAAGCAUGUUUGUCUCACUGGUGGAGUUGGAGCGAGAUCUUUUGCAGGACGUCUCUUGACAGCUCUGAUCCUCGUUGUCGCAGUUCUUGCCCUCAUCGUCUGACACCUUAAUAACUGGCAUCUGCAAACAUGGAACAUGAUCUGCUCAAAGAGAGGCCGAAAGUACGCUUAGCUGGUUAUGUGUGGUUUACUAAGGAGUAAUGAGUUGGGCAGAACCACAGAAUCUCCCAUCACACCGGCCAUGUGAUAAUGAUUCAUUUCAGCAGGAGACAUCCCUGUGAUCCAGGCAAGCAAGCCAGAAUGAACACUGCAUGGAAAACUUUUGAGAAAUACUCUGCUCUUCUCAGAUAUCAACAUUAGGAUUCAUCAGUUAUGAAACAAAUUAAACUACAGCUGUAAAGCACCUCUACUAUUAUUAUUAAGGCAUCAUCUAUUUAAUAAUUAAAUACUUUUAUUUUUCUUUCCUUAUAAAUUCUAAAUUUGACUUUUUCUUCUUUAUGCAUGAAUACAUCAGUGACCGGUGGACACAUGUUUUCUUCUGUGCAAUCCAAAGCAACACCUGAGCUAUAAAGAGGUUGCACUACUUUUAAUUCUUUCAUGAAUUAAACAUGACAGGAAAGAAGUGCAUUAAGAACUUAUCUAAAACUCUUCCUGAAGUUACUCUACUCUAGAUAACCUGGCGAUGUAUAUUAAGAAUAUUGUUGGCUGUUUGACAGAUUGCUUUUGUUCCUCAUUUUAAAGUCUGCUAAAUGCAUAAAUGCAAAUCUUAGAACAUCUAUAGUUAUUCACAUUUAAAAAGAGGGAUAGAAACCUAAAUAAAUCAGAAGUUUAUUCUACCUGUGCAACUCCUUUCUGUGACGUCAUCAAAUGCAACCAAUAGGAAAGCCAAGCUUCUGUGAUGUCAUCAGUA